AAAAAGUUUGACAUUUGACAUUUUUUUUUCAAAAUGUUUUAUUUGGGUUUCCAAUAAUUUUGGCCCUAAAAUAGCUCCAUAAAUUAUCACCAAUUCUGACUUAAUGGUUGAAGCUACUUUACAGAACGUCUGUGUUCAAGAGUUAAAGGAUAAAAGGUUAAUAAAAUAACAACAGGAGAAUCUGUUAAAUUUGUUCAGAUCAAGACUCAUUAGGACAUCACUAAUGUAAACAUCCUGAAACCAGAUGUUUCUUCUGAUGAUGGUUUUGGUCGUUUUUGUCUGUUAGCGCUAAAAGCUAACAUGAACUUUGAGAAGUUCCUGCAGGAAAACCGAGUCUUUGUCACCGACAAACACGGAUCUGUCGGCCGCGGCUGCAGUGACACAUGUGGAGCGACGGGCUGAGAGCUGGGGGGUGCGAACAGACAGUGACAGCGUGGGGCGGGGCCCCAGCCAAUCAGCUGAGAGCAAAGCUGGAGGAGGGGGGCGCAGAGGCCGACCAUCCAACAGAAACUUCAUGGGGUUUGUCACGCGGGAACAGUCCUUGGCAUCAACCCAUCCGCCCACAUGUGACCCCCCCAGCUCUCACCAAACCUCAGUCCCGUUCUAAAUAAUUCACUCUGCAGCCAUUCCCUUCCACCUGAGGGGCUUGUCUCCUGGUGUCACCAGCGGGACGAUUUAACAGCUCCCGAAAGGUCACCGUCCCCCCCCUCGCACACACAAACUCCCUCAAACAGAUUGAAUCAUGACGCUCAGCGGCACCCCCAAGGGUGAAAGUGCUCCUGUGUUUACCUGUUCACAAAUUGGACCUUGAGGGCUGCUUCUACAAGGACGUCCAUUUUCACGUUUAUGACCCCCCCACAUGUCAAUAAAGGCCAGCGAGGGGAGAGGACGUGUUCUCCACUAAGAGCCUUCCCAGGUUCUCCUGCAGUCCUGAACACCGAGGAUUGAUUUUUGGUGGAGGACUAAUGGAGCUUAGACUGAACUGAUCAACCUUCAUCCCUGAAACGACUCGUCCAACAACCAAAUCCUCACGGAGGCUGAUGGGAAAAACAAAUCUGAGAUGCAGAGAUCUGCUGCUCUGCUCGUCAUGUUCUGACCCCUGAAGCCUCAUCAGGGAUCACCGCUGCACCCCCACACGCCCAGGUUCACUGAGACAUGCUGGAUGUGAGCUGCACAUCAGUUUGAAGAAACAAACUUCAUUCUGCAGCUCCAACAGGAUUAGUGGUUUACUAGAGACGGACUCACAGAAGCUUUUAGAACUGACUUUACAUUAGUCGUAAUGGUACGAUCAUCAUUUUAGCCUGUUGCUACACAUUUCUGUUCCUGCAUUUCCUUUGUUGGUUAAGAAUCAUUUGAAGUGUUGAAGGCGAUGUUUCAUCAAACCUUUAGGGUGUAUUCAGACUGGGAAAAUGAUUUGUUCUGGAUCGAGUCCUGAACCUUACGUCUGGUCUGUAUCGUUUUCCAGACCAGAUCUCCUAAACAAAACCAUGUGACUAAAGAUCUAUUCAGUCAUUGGGCAGCAUUUGCAAAUCAUUGCCAGGAUAGUUCACUGACUUUAUAUUUCUCUGACCAAUUCUGAACGUCUGAAUCAACGUCAGCUUCAACACCCUUUACUGCUGCUCUGGUACGGUGCUGCAAGGCGGUUUCUGAGGAUGCUACGGCUACGAGGUACGCUAAUGACUGAUUAUGACAGAUAAACUGUAGGGAAAACAGUGUGAGAAGCAAUGUGUAUCACAUUAAAAGAUGUUCUAAUGAGCCU